GAUGAACGCUAGCGGCAGGCCUAAUACAUGCAAGUCGGACGGGAUUCAGGAGCUUGCUUCUGAUGAGAGUGGCGCACGGGUGCGUAACACGUAUGUAACCUACCUUUAUCAGGGGGAUAGCCUCUCGAAAGAGAGAUUAAGCCCGCAUAAAAUCACAGCACAGCAUUGUGUAAUGAUCAAAUAUUUAUAGGAUAAAGAUGGGCAUGCGGAACAUUAGCUAGAUGGCGGGGUAACGGCCCACCAUGGCGACGAUGUUUAGGGGAUCUGAGAGGAUGGCCCCCCACACUGGUACUGAGACACGGACCAGACUCCUACGGGAGGCAGCAGUAAGGAAUAUUGGUCAAUGGGCGGAAGCCUGAACCAGCCAUGCCGCGUGCAGGAAGGCGGCCCUACGGGUUGUAAACUGCUUUUAUACGGGAAUAAACCCAGAUACGUGUAUCUGGCUGAAUGUACUGUAAGAAUAAGGAUCGGCUAACUCCGUG
rnacentral:rRNA from 1 species